GAUGAAGAACGUAGCGAAAUGCGAUAAGUAAUAUGAAUUGCAGAAUUCAGUGAAUCAUCGAAUCUUUGAACGCACAUUGCGCCCGGCAGUACUCUGCCGGGCAUGCCUGUUCGAGCGUCAUUUCAACCCUCAAGCCCUGCUUGGUGUUGGGGCCCCACGGCUGCCGUGGGCCCUGAAAGGAAGUGGCGGGCUCGCUACAACUCCGAGCGUAGUAAUUCAUUAUCUCGCUUAGGGCGUUGGGCGGCGCUCCAGCCGUUAAAGAACCAUCUUUAACUCAAGGUUGACCUCGGAUCAGGUAGGAAUACCCGCUGAACUUAAGCAUAUCAAUAAGCGGAGGA
rnacentral:misc_RNA from 1 species